UUCACAACUAUUUCCGCUACGAUAACCGAUCUGUCGACGUCCAUUUUGCUCGCUUGUUGGUGCUAGCGUCCCUGAUUUAUGAGCCGUCUUUAUAGCCGCCUGCUCAUCGAAGUUUGAAUAAUGGAGGGAGCACCAGGAGGUGGUAGAGGUAGUUUUCGAGGCCGUGGAGGCCCGGGUGGAGUAAUGAGGGGACGUGGCGGUUUUGGAGAGAGAGGAAGAGGUGGUCCUCCUCGAGGUGGUAGCAUGAUGCGUGGCGGACGAGGUAAUGGUCCUGGCGGAAGAGGAGGUCCACCAAUGAGAGGCCGAGGUGGCCCUCCUGGCAGAGGUGGACGAGGUGGACAUUUUCCUCCAGGACCACCAGAAGCAGGAAUGUCUAGUGGACCUGGAGGUGGUCCGCCACCCUUAGGAAUGGGUGGUCCUCCACGAGGUGGUGGCGGAAGAGGUGGCGGCAGUAAUAGCUUCCGUAGCAGAGGCAGAGGCGACUUCGGCAGGGGAGAUAGCCGCGGAGGUAGCAAUAAUUUCCGGGGUCGCGGCAUGGAUAGAGGUAGAGGAGGAUCCAGAGGAGGAUCAAGCCGAGGUGGACCCAGCCGUGGUGGCUUUGAUCGUGGUGGUCGAGGGACUGGGGGUGGACGUGGUGGUCCUACGAAACGAGGAGGAGGUCCACCUAGCUCGAGUGGACCUUCCAAAAGGCCACGUUUUGAUCAACCGUCUUCUCAACCAUCUAAUGGUUACGCUACUCAACCUCCUAGCCAAGGUUAUGGAGGUUCAAGUAACGCUUACAGCAGCCAACAACAACCACAGCAGCAACAGUCCGUAGGAUACGGUAGCGGUGGCUAUGGCUCACAGCAAGGCUACACACAGUCUUAUCAGGGCUAUGAGAGUUAUCAGCAGCCUCAGGAUUAUGGACAAACGGGUUAUCCACCGUCCGCAGCAGACAGCAGAUACGGCGGGGCGUCAUCAGUUCCAGCUGCAGGAUUUGGCGCUAACGAUCCGUACAGUUACGGCAAAGCUCCGCCGUCAGCCGAUUACCAGCAGGAGGCAGUGUCAACCGCGGGACCGGGGGGCGGGGCCGGUUAUGUCUCAGCUAACCCAUAUGACGACCGAUCUAAUGCCAACAUAAUCAACCGGGGUUAUUCGACGCAACCUUAUGAUUAUCCGAGUCAGGAUGGUGUUUAUGGGAAACAGGACUAUGGUUGAUCACAACUGCAACAACUGUGACGCCAAAUGAGAUCAUCAUCCACAUGGAAUCAUCGAUUAUAAUCGCCGCAUGACCGGUAUCGCAAUCAUGAGAACCAGAAAAAUCACGAAUCUGCGUUGCUACACACCUCGCAGAUAAUAUACUCCAUACAUCAUGUGCUUCGUACAGGUGAAUAGAAGUCACAUUUUAGAGUGGUAUACGAAUUAUAUUUGUAUGAGAAAUUUUGCUCUUUUUUUUCUUGAAUGAUUCCUCCCCAUUUGUCUUGCU